UUGCUUCAGCAGCACAUAUACUAAAGCUGGAACAAUACAGAGAAGAUUAGCAUGUCCUCUGAACAAGGAUGACACACGGCUUUGUGAAGAGUUCCAUGUUCUU